AUGGCUCAUUGGCCAGUGUCAGUGUCCUGGCUCCAGAGUCUCAGGAGACAAUCUGCUGGUGUCAGAGGCUGCAAAAGGCAGGGCAAAUUGCUCUGGGAUGUGACUUCUCAUAAAGGGAUUUCACCCCUCAGUGCCCUGUGGCCACAUCUGGGGCUCUUCCCUGCACAGAGGAAACGCCCCAGCAGCACUGACCUCCUCUCAAAACCAACAAUCCCUCCACCCCCCACCACCUCCAACUGUUCUACCACACCCACCUUCAAAGCCCAAACGGCCUGCAAGAACCCAGAUAAGGAGGGAGGUGGAAAGGACUGGGGUGCCUGUUCCUGACAGCGACUGGCCAAUCUGAACCGCAUCUUCCAUCUCUCUGGGCUCCCAUCUCCCCCGAAAUCUUCAAUGAAGAGCAAGGAGGUGGAGAACAGGGGCGCCUGGGGGCUCAGUUGGUUAAGUGUCCACCUUUGGCUCAGGUCAUGAUCUCACCGUUUGUGGGUUUGAGGCUCUGCAUCGGGCUCUCUGCUGUCAGCACAGAGCCUGCUUCAGAUCCUCUGUCCCCCUCUCUCUCUGCCCCUCCCUUGCUCAUUCUCUCUCUCUCUCUCUCUCUCUCUCUCUCUCUCUCAAAACAAAUACACUUAAAAAAAAAAAAGGAGGUGAAGAAGAAAGGGAGCACUGGACAAAAAUUGAGGGCCACAGGGACACCUGGGUGGUUUGGUCCAUUAAGUGUCUGACUCUUGGUUUUGGCUCAGGUCAUGAUCUUGUGGUUCAUGAGUUCGAGCCCCACACUGGGCUCUGUGCUGACAGUCACAAAGCUAGUUGCCAGUGAGUGGUCAAAUUUCGCCCAUAUUUUUUGGCCGGAAGAGCAUUUUAAAAGCUUUCACAUUUGAAUGCCAUUGAAUGGGGUAAGCAACCGGGUUGUCUUAGGUCCCACCACCCCAUGCUGCCUCAUGCCCUGCCUGAGUGGCAAGAUUACUCCACCUGCCUGACCUGGAAAGUAGCAGUUUGGGGCCCUUGAGAUUGUGAUCUGUGUUUCCCAGGCCUGUGAGUACCCUAAUGGGCCUGCUAGGGGACUCCUGCAUAUUGUCAUAGCCAGGCCUAGAGUCUGAACCACAGCGGGAUAGGUAAAGAAAAGAGUGAGGGACAUCUCAUAACAUCUCACGACAGACAUCUCAUGCCACUGGAAACUUAGACCCCAGGGGUCAGAUCUGGGCCCAUGUCCAGGCCCUGCCAGGGCUGAUGGUACAGUCCUGGACAAGAUCCGAUCCCACCAGAGUCUCGGGACACAGCAGGGAAGGAGUCUGACGAAACCUCAGAAGCACUGAUGUGAGUGAAUCUGGGCAAAGACUUUGUAGGUCUUGGUGUUAAUGGGAAUCAAGUCAGACCAGCAAAACUACCAGCCUGCAGGGCCUUUGGUCAGGCCAGCCUCUGGGUCCCUGUUCUUUCUUUCCUCAUUGUGGGUCUAGGGGGUUUCUAAGGGAUUGAAGGGUGUGUCUAAGUCAUAGGCUCCCAUGACAGGAGCGCAAUUCUGUGGAGGGUGAACGGGGCCCGGAGAUCUGAGAAUUCACUUCAGCUCUGUCUUACCGUGCAAGCCCCAAAUCUCAGUUUUCCCAUUUGUAAAAUGGGCAUUGUGAUCUUUGCCCCAGAGAAUGGUCAAGGAUGGCAAAGCACCAUACGAAUGUCAGUUAUGAAAAGGCUAACCCUAACUAAGGCGCCUGGGGAAAGGGAUGUUGGAUUUGAUAUGUCAUCAAAUUUUCAAGGCUGGAGCUAGACUAAUGGUAUGAAACUUUUUCAUAAAAUUCACAAGGUCCUUUUCCAAAAGUCAGAGCUGGAACAUAGGGCUGAAGGUCCCUAGGCCUCCAGCCACGAUGCUGGUGAAAGCCCCGACCUUGUGUUUUUCAUUCAGAAUUCUCUGGCAUUUACUCAACGGCUUGUGUCCUUCAGAACCGUUCUCUCUGAGCUCCCGGGCAGCUCAACCAGCGCGGGAACUCUGAGCUGGAGAGAGCAGGUACAUGUGUGAGAACAUGCGUGUGCGUCCAUGUGCUCUUGUGCUUCUGCCUGGCAGUCCAGGAAUCAAGUGCUUGUCUAAUAAAUACCAAUGCGAUCUGAAGACCA
ensembl:lncRNA